GUAAUUCUUUUUAUUAUUAUUAUUAUUAUUAUUUUUUCUCCACAGUUCACGCAUUCAUUCACUCAUCUCUUUUAACGUCCCAUCACUGAUCUUCCUCUUUCUCUUUCUCUCUCUUCUUUUCUUCUUCGUCUUCUCUCCCUGAAAGCCCUCCGUGUCUCAUGAAUAAAGAAAACACCAAAGCAUAAUCUCUUGCCCGUGAAAAGAUCAAUCCACGCUAACAAUAACCCAAUUGGCUUCUUCAAACUGUGAACUUUGAAGAAGAACAGGAAGCACAGUACCCCACCUGAUAGGUCUAAAAGGGAGCUCAAGACGAUAAGAAAAUAGGUAAAAUUGAAGCAGAUCGUUCGUCACCAUAUUAUCACCUUAAAGAUAGUAGAUUAGUAUAUUUGAUUUUCAUGGAGUCAGCAUCAGGAGGGACUGGAGCAUCCGACCCGAAUAGUGGAGAACCGAUUCCAUCAACAGCAGCAGCUGCUCCAACGGGAGCAUCUUCAGCAUCGCAAGGACAAGCAGAGGGAUCAUUUCAAGCUCCACCGAGCAGGUACGAGUCACAGAAGAGACGAGACUGGAACACGUUCUUACAAUACUUAAAGAAUCACAAGCCACCAUUAACUCUGGCUCGCUGCAGUGGGGCACAUGUGAUCGAGUUCUUGAAGUAUUUGGAUCAAUUUGGCAAGACCAAGGUCCACAUAACGGGUUGUCCGUAUUUUGGGCACCCGAAUCCACCCGCACCCUGUGCUUGUCCUCUCAAGCAGGCGUGGGGUAGCCUCGACGCGCUAAUCGGACGGCUGAGAGCGGCCUACGAAGAGAACGGUGGAAGACCAGAAUCUAAUCCUUUUGGAGCAAGAGCGGUGAGGAUUUAUCUCAGGGAAGUCAGAGAAGGACAAGCCAAAGCCAGAGGGAUACCCUACGAGAAGAAGAAACGGAAACGGCCUGCUGCAGUUACUACGGCAGCUGUUCCGGCUAAUGUUUCGGUAUCAGUAAGCCAAGGUGUUGAAGUCGGUGGCGGUUCCUCAAGUGGUGGUGGUGGUGUUGGAGAUGGGACCGGUAGUGGUGCUGGUGAAACUAGUACGGUAGCUGCCACCAGUACUACCCCCGCUGCUGCUACUACUACGACAGCCCUGCAAGAAAACUAAAAUCUGACAUAAAUGUGCAUGCGACCAAGGAAUCUGACCUAAAUGCCAAGAUUUUCCAGUUUUCAGCUUCUGCUUCUGCUUCUGGUUUCUGACCUGGUCCUGGCUGUCUUGAUCUGCUGGACUCCCCCUACCAUGGCCAAAUUUAGUUUCUGCUAUGAUGCACACGUCCGUCUCUGAAUUAUGCAUUUAGCACUUAACAGUUUCAGGUGCUUUUUCUUCUUUAAGCUAUCCACUUUGAUCUUAGAUUUUGGUUUCAGAUUUUUAGAUUUUGGGUUCUGGGUUUUCUUUGUACACUAUUGAUAUAUGCAUCAGGCAUCACUUGGAUCUCUCUCUGUGUCUUCCUAUUCCCAAUGAAAAGAACAUCUCUUUAAUUA